AGGCUGCUGUCAGCUCUCUUCUGGAUUAUGACAACAAGCACCUAAUUGAUCCCUCUGCUUCAAGUCUGCUCCAGUUCAAUCCUUCUACUUCCCAUUCUAAAAUAUACCCUUCAAUACACACUAAUAAAUUGGCUGCCUGGAGACGUAUUCAAAAAGGUAGGAAUAGCCCCUUGAGUCCUGGAUACUCAAAAGUCUAAUUCUGCAAAAUAACAGUAAUAUCAUAAGGAGAAAAUGUCUUUUUGUUUAUGUAUCUUUCCUUUCUAUCAGAAGUUCUUGGUUCAGAAAUGCAUUCUUUCCAUUCAAGGAAUUCACUAGGGAAUAUCCAGAUAGUACACUGAGUAAUAACAAUAUUUCCAUUCCAAAGACAUAUAUGAGACUUGGUGUUGUAACACAGUCUAAGGCAUCAAAUACUCUCCAUGAAAAGACUGGAGACUAUGGAUAAAAACACAAAUUUUCGGGAGUAGAAGGGAUGGAUUUUAGUUCAUCUCCUGGUCUUUUUGACUAUGUGGAGUUGAUUGCACAAUUCUGAGCAGACUCCCAAAUAUGGGGCCUGGCCUUGGGCCCAGAGAAAUCUUUCUUCUUAGAGCCUCAGAAGUUCCUGUGUUCUUCAGAUGGGAGCUGGAAGGGCUUCCAUUAAUUAAGAUCGAUGAAUUUCAUCGAUACCACUUUUAGGCCCUGAUCUCUGUCCACGAUGAAAGAAAGAAACCAAGAAAGAGCAGAGAGCUAGGAAAAGAGACUUUCUUACAGCAGUUCCCUCUCUCAGGGACCAAAUGAUGUUUUUUCCUAUAGAAAGGAGAUUUUUAAAUGCAACUGAAGGUCAAGUGCCUCAGAUCAAGUGAGGCCAAGAUGAUCUUGAAAGUAGGAAUAAUAAAGGAUAGAUGAGGUGACUAUUUGGGAGACACAAGAGACACACUCCCAGUGGUUAAGCCUGAUUUAAAAGUUUCCCUUUAUUUGUUUCAAGCCCAGGGAACUGGAAAACUAGUUAUCAAUGAGGUUAAGAAUAGCUGUUGCAAUUUCAAGAAGGUAUGCCCAUUCCUUAUAAACCUGUAAGAAUUUUGUAAGACUCUCAGUGCUGGAUUAAACUUGCAAAGUGCCUGGAAAGCCCCACCACCUGGUCACAGCUGAGUUAAUGUAAAGAAGACGGGAGAGAUCCGACAGUUGAAAGAGACAAGAAAAUGGUUAACAGAAGAGGAAAGAGUAAAUGAAAGGAGAUAAGGCAGAACUUCAUAAACUUAAGAAAAUCAUCUUCAUUGCAAACAGUUAAGGCUUUGAAACUCUGUAGAACAGCACAUUGCAGUUAGCCCUGUUUCCCAUUCUCUGAGGUUUUGUGUUAUUUCAUUAACUCAAAACUGAUGAGAAGCUACUGUGUUACAGGUCCUGCAUGCACACUGAGAAUACAGAGAUGAGUAAGGUAUCAUACAGCUACCGGGGCUUAAAAGCUAGGGCACAAAGGCAGAUGCACAAAAAUCACAUAGAGUGUGAGUGUGAAAGGAACAGUGGGGACACAAAGGAAUAUUUGACUCUAUCUGGAAAAUAUAAGGAAGAUAUUCUUAUCCCAGGGUGAAAGAGCAAUUCAUAUAUUUAAAACGUAAAGAAAAAUUCAUGAAUCUCCAAAUCUACAAUUAAUGAUAAAGUGAGGUCAUUAUGCAGAUUUUCAAGUAGACCUGAGGAGACUCUUAACCCUGAAGCCUGAUACUUAGUGGUUCUACGUUUGUUAAAUAUUAAAUCCAAUAUUUAGGGCAAAGAAAUAAAGUAUCCUGACCUAUACAGACUGAUUUGGGCUGGUAGGCAAUUAGCAGAUUGACACCUCUUUCUGCCCACAAUUUUUUUUUUAUUACAAUUUUUAAGAGGGGUCCAUUUUUCAAUUUGUGCUAUCUCAAUACAGGCUGAGGCGAUGAGGAAAGACAUAAUAAAUGAGGCUAAUUUUGUUCUGCCCAAAGCUGAUUAGAAGAGUAAGCUUAGCUGCCUUUAUCAGAACAGCCACUCUGAUAAGGAAGAUGCUGAAACUGUUGUGAAAAGCUACGGCGAUAGGCAGGAAGCACUGUCAUUUUGCUUCAACACAGUGAAUGCUAGCAAUGUAUACAUGUAAAUAAAAUAUCAGAAUGAAAGGGAAGAAGUACCAUGAGAAACAUAAAUAGAUGUGAAAAAAAUUCGUAUAACAAGAGGAGAGGCAGGAAUAAGCUAACUUUGAAUCUAACAUGAAUUAUUGCAAAGGGAGAUGGAUGGAUAUCCUCAAUGAAUAUAAAGUAACUCCAAUUAAAACAUAAGAAUUUAAAGAUAUCCUUUCAUGGGGCACUGGGUGGCUCAGUUGGUUAAGCCUCUGACUCUUGAUUUAAGCUCAGGUCAUGAUCUCACAGUUCCGGUUCAAGAGAUCAAGUCCCCCAUCGUCCCUCAGCCUGCUUGGUUUUUUCUCUCUCCCUCUCUCUGCUCUUCCCCAGCUUGUGCUCUCUCUGUCUCUCUCUCUCUCAAAAUAAAUAUAUAAACCUAAAAAAAAAAAAA